GAAAAUGACUUCAAAUUCUAACACGAUCAGGUUGCCAUAGUUUUUCCUCAUUGACAUUUAGUUUUGUGUUACGUGAUGUAAGAAAGCAAAUCACAUCUAAACUUUUGUCUCGGGACUGAAUGUGUUGAGAACUAGUCUAUACACAUGUGAUUAAUGUUCCAAGACGUUGAAUAUUCAGGUCACGAUCAAUGUGCAGUGUGCAGAAGAAAAGGAAGUUAUAUUGUAUUGUAGUGUUAAACAAAGACAAGAAUGGCUGAAAUGAAUGAGAAAGAAAAAGUGGAGCACCAAAAGAUUCUUAAUUGGGUGUAUAAAGAAAGCGUGGCCGCUAUAGUGGUUAUAGGCGUGGUUUACUACGCAAUUCGUCUGAUUCCACUGGACAUAGAGACAGUCCAAACUCCGUAUGACCGCUUGGUGUUUUCCCUCAGGUGGCUCUUUAUCUCAUCACUUCCAAUUGUUUUCGCAAUAUUCGGUGUCCUAGACGUUAGAGGAAAUACGAAAGCCAUUGAUCCAAUCGAUGGAGGUGCGGAAAACCUCGUGGAACUUCCUAACCGGAUUCUACGAAACAACGUGGAACAGUUUGCAUUGCAUGCGGUGGGUGUGUUGGCAUUGACAACAUAUUUGGAUGAGAAGUCCAUGACCACUAUCAGAGCUCUAGUUGUGCUCUUCUUCCUUGGUCGUGUUCUCUACGCGAUGGGAUACAAAUCGUCGCCCAGUAAUCGAGGUUUUGGAUUUGCUAUUACUUUUAUGCCAACAGUAGUGACUUAUGGAUAUGUCUUAUAUAUGUUUGUAACAACAUACAUUCUGGGAUUCUAGUGAUAGCAAAGAUUAACUAUUCCUUCCUCUCAAACAAUGUAAGACUAAUUGUGAAAUCACGACCAGUUAUAUGUGGAAAAAUUCGGAUUAUGUAAACUUCUCCCAUUUGUCUUUCCAUUGUAAGCAACGGAUUGAACGGAAUCUCAUUUGUAUUUCAUUACUUUUGGUAUUUUCCUAUUUUUCACUCCCACUCACAUGAAGAAUUAGGUGUAAACAUAAUAAAUGUGUUAGUCGGAAUUUUCUCUUUGUUUACCGGAAUAAAUUCCUCACUUCUACCUAUAAGAUUUGAAAAAUUACCAAAAUUUCGGAUAUCUUUUAAAAAUACAUGGGGGGUAUGAACUGCAAGCCGAUAAUUUGGUGUUCGAAAUGUAAAACGGAUAUUUCUACAUCCCUGAGACAAAACAUUUAAGUAUUUUUCACAUUCAAAUCUUAUAAACAUUACUUGUAGAGGGAACUCUUGAUAUCACUACACCCGUCUUUGGUCUUUAAUAAGUCUUUGAUAUACUGCAACAGUAAUCCAGAUGAUGUUCAUAUAACAUAGAAAUUUAUCAUUCCAUACCCGUGACAAUCCACAAAGAACAAUGUGCCUUAUAUUCAGAUAAUCGAUAUGUAUCCGCAUACAUGGGAUUUUCAAGAAAAUGUUGUGUGAAUAAAUAUCUAUAUAAAAUGAAUAUAAGUUUGUGUUCUGAGUCAGUAAAUAAUUCUAUCCAGUCAAACAUCAUCCUGAUAUGAAAGGUAAGGGAAUGAUUCUAGUCUAAACAGUAACAUAAAGCGGGAAACGGUGAUUUUCAAUAUGCACCAUACAUGUAUAUCUUGCAGUACUGCUUUUAGUAUAAAAACGUGUCAUAAAGAUUUAGGAGAAGACAUUAAGUCAUAUCGAAGUUUUCGAAAUUCCAAGAGUAAACUACUAAAACCAACUUAUCUCACAAACCAAACUGACAUUCGACAAUCGAAGUGUUUAAUUUUUCUUAUCACACCAUAUAUUUUUUAGACUUGUUCAUUCAAAUGCUCCUUUGCUUUGCAACAAGAUCCUGAUCGGGAGAAAAAAUUAAUGCCCAGGUACCUGAAUUCUCUAACGUUUUCGAUAACCCUGUCGUUGAAGUAGAAUGAUUUCCUAGGCACGGGGCCUUUAAACAAGAAUGGCUGAAAUGAAUGACAAAGAAAAGGCGGAGCACCAGAAGCUUCUUAAUUGGGUGUAUAUAGAAGCCGCAGCCGCUGCAGUUGUUAUAGGCGUGGUUUACUACGCAGCCAAUCUGAUUCCUCUAGACAUAGAGACAGUCCAAACUCCGUGUGACCGCUUGGUGUUUGCCCUCAGGUGGCUCUUUGUCUCAUCACUUCCGAUAGUAUUCGCAAUAUUCGGUGUCCUAAACGUUAGAGGGAAUACGAAAGCCAUUGAUCCAAUAAAAGGAGGUGCGGAAAACCUCGUGGAACUUCCUAACCGGAUUCUACGAAACACCAUUGAACAGUUUUCCUUGCACGCGGUGGGUGUGUUGGCGUUGACAACAUAUUUGGAUGAGAGGUCAAUGUCCAACAUCCGGGCUCUAGUGGCGCUCUUCUUCCUUGGCCGUAUCCUCUUCGCGAUGGGAUACAAAUCAUCGCCCAUUAAUCGAGGUUUUGGAUUCGGUAUUACUUUUAUGCCAACAUUAGUGACUUAUGGAUAUGUCUUAUAUAAGUUUGUAACAACAUACAUUCUGGGAUUCUAGCGAUAGCUGAGAUCUUCUCCAGUUUUGUCAUCCCAAUGUGAGCAAUUUAAUCUAAUUUGUGUAUAAUUACUAUCAAUAUUAUUUUAUAUCUCACUCUCUGAUUGACUAGGUGUAAACAUAAUAAAUGGGUUUAUUGGAA